AUUGAACGCUGGCGGAAUGCUUUACACAUGCAAGUCGAACGGCAGCACGGGGGCAGCCCUGGUGGCGAGUGGCGAACGGGUGAGUAAUACAUCGGAACGUGCCCGGUCGUGGGGGAUAACGUAGCGAAAGUUACGCUAAUACCGCAUACGAUCUGAGGAUGAAAGCGGGGGACCUUCGGGCCUCGCGCGAUCGGAGCGGCCGAUGUCAGAUUAGGUAGUUGGUGGGGUAAAGGCCUACCAAGCCGACGAUCUGUAGCUGGUCUGAGAGGACGACCAGCCACACUGGGACUGAGACACGGCCCAGACUCCUACGGGAGGCAGCAGUGGGGAAUUUUGGACAAUGGGCGCAAGCCUGAUCCAGCCAUUCCGCGUGCAGGACGAAGGCCUUCGGGUUGUAAACUGCUUUUGUACGGAACGAGAAGGCUCUGGCUAAUACCUGGGGCUCAUGACGGUACCGUAAGAAUAAGCACCGGCUAACUACGUG
rnacentral:rRNA from 1 species